CGUGCAGGCGGCCACCGCAAGUUGAAUGUGAAAUCCCUGGGCUUAACCUGGGAAGUGCGUUCAAGACUGCGGGGCUUGAAUACGGGAGAGGAUCGUGGAAUUCCUGGUGUAGAGGUGAAAUUCGUAGAUAUCAGGAGGAACACUCGUGGCGAAGGCGACGGUCUGGACCGAUAUUGACGCUGAGACGCGAAAGCGUGGGUAGCAAACA
rnacentral:rRNA from 1 species